rnacentral:lncRNA from 1 species
GACUAAUGGCAAGAACAAAGUCUGCAUGUGUCGGUACAAGUGCUAUUAUUUUUUUCAUGUAUUUUCAAUCCACUGUUAAUUGAAUCCAUGGAUUCAGAUGGGUUAGAGUACAAAUCACAAAAAAAGGGGGGAAAGAGAAUGUAAAUCAUGAGGGUGACCUGGCUUUCCUUACUCCUUGGUUCUGUCAGCUCCAGUUGGUAUUCUGUGUGUGUGUGUGUGUGUGUGUGUGUAAAUGGUAUCAAACCCAGGGCCUUGUGCAUGCAAGGCAAGCACUCUACCAACUGAGGUAUAUCCCCAGCCCUCCAGUUAGUAUUC